UGGGGAAUAUUGGACAAUGGGGGAAACCCUGAUCCAGCAAUGCCGCGUGAGUGAAGAAGGCCUUAGGGUUGUAAAGCUCUUUCACCCGCGAAGAUAAUGACGGUAGCGGGAGAAGAAGCCCCGGCUAACUCCGUGCCAGCAGCCGCGGUAAUACGGAGGGGGCUAGCGUUGUUCGGAAUUACUGGGCGUAAAGCGUACGUAGGCGGAUGCGCAAGUUGGGGGUGAAAUCCCGGGGCUUAACCUCGGAAUUGCCCUCAAAACUGCACGUCUUGAGACCGAGUGAGGUCAGGGGAAUUCCUAGUGUAGAGGUGAAAUUCGUAGAUGUUAGGAAGAACACCAGUGGCGAAGGCGCCUUACUGGCUCGGUACUGACGCUGAGGUACGAAAGCGUGGGGAGCAAACA
rnacentral:rRNA from 1 species